rnacentral:rRNA from 1 species
UGCAUGGUUGUCGUCAGCUCGUGUCGUGAGAUGUUGGGUUAAGUCCCGCAACGAGCGCAACCCUUAUUGUUAGUUGCUACCAUUUAGUUGAGCACUCUAGCGAGACUGCCCGGGUUAACCGGGAGGAAGGUGGGGAUGACGUCAAAUCAUCAUGCCCCUUAUGUCUAGGGCUACACACGUGCUACAAUGGUCGGUACAAUGAGAUGCAACCUCGCGAGAGUGAGCAAAACUAUAAAACCGAUCUCAGUUUGGAUUGUAGGCUGAAACUCGCCUACAUGAAGCUGGAGUUGCUAGUAAUCGCGAAUCAGAAUGUCGCGGUGAAUACGUUCCCGGGCCUUGUACACACCGCCCGUCACACCAUGAGAGUUGGCAAUACCCAAAGUUCGUGAGCUAACCGCAAGGAGGCAGCGACCUAAGGUAGGGUCAGCGAUUGGGGUGAAGUCGUAACAAGGUAGCCGUAGGAGAACCUGCGGCUGGAUCACCUC